GUUAAGCGACUAAGCGUACACGGUGGAUGCCCUGGCAGUCAGAGGCGAUGAAGGACGUGCUAAUCUGCGAUAAGCGUCGGUAAGGUGAUAUGAACCGUUAUAACCGGCGAUUUCCGAAUGGGGAAACCCAGUGUGAUUCGUCACACUAUCAUUAACUGAAUCCAUAGGUUAAUGAGGCGAACCGGGGGAACUGAAACAUCUAAGUACCCCGAGGAAAAGAAAUCAACCGAGAUUCCCCCAGUAGCGGCGAGCGAACGGGGAGCAGCCCAGAGCCUGAAUCAGUGUGUGUGUUAGUGGAAGCGUCUGGAAAGGCGUGCGAUACAGGGUGACAGCCCCGUACACAAAAAUGCACAUACUGUGAGCUCGAUGAGUAGGGCGGGACACGUGGUAUCCUGUCUGAAUAUGGGGGGACCAUCCUCCAAGGCUAAAUACUCCUGACUGACCGAUAGUGAACCAGUACCGUGAGGGAAAGGCGAAAAGAACCCCGGCGAGGGGAGUGAAAAAGAACCUGAAACCGUGUACGUACAAGCAGUGGGAGCACGCUUAGGCGUGUGACUGCGUACCUUUUGUAUAAUGGGUCAGCGACUUAUAUUCUGUAGCAAGGUUAACCGAAUAGGGGAGCCGAAGGGAAACCGAGUCUUAACUGGGCGUUAAGUUGCAGGGUAUAGACCCGAAACCCGGUGAUCUAGCCAUGGGCAGGUUGAAGGUUGGGUAACACUAACUGGAGGACCGAACCGACUAAUGUUGAAAAAUUAGCGGAUGACUUGUGGCUGGGGGUGAAAGGCCAAUCAAACCGGGAGAUAGCUGGUUCUCCCCGAAAGCUAUUUAGGUAGCGCCUCGUGAAUUCAUCUCCGGGGGUAGAGCACUGUUUCGGCAAGGGGGUCAUCCCGACUUACCAACCCGAUGCAAACUGCGAAUACCGGAGAAUGUUAUCACGGGAGACACACGGCGGGUGCUAACGUCCGUCGUGAAGAGGGAAACAACCCAGACCGCCAGCUAAGGUCCCAAAGUCAUGGUUAAGUGGGAAACGAUGUGGGAAGGCCCAGACAGCCAGGAUGUUGGCUUAGAAGCAGCCAUCAUUUAAAGAAAGCGUAAUAGCUCACUGGUCGAGUCGGCCUGCGCGGAAGAUGUAACGGGGCUAAACCAUGCACCGAAGCUGCGGCAGCGACGCUUAUGCGUUGUUGGGUAGGGGAGCGUUCUGUAAGCCUGUGAAGGUGUGCUGUGAGGUAUGCUGGAGGUAUCAGAAGUGCGAAUGCUGACAUAAGUAACGAUAAAGCGGGUGAAAAGCCCGCUCGCCGGAAGACCAAGGGUUCCUGUCCAACGUUAAUCGGGG
rnacentral:rRNA from 1 species